UACAGAGGGGGCAAGCGUUAUUCGGAAUUAUUGGGCGUAAAGGGCGCGUAGGCGGCCUUGCAAGCGACGGGUGAAAUCCCCCGGCUUAACCUGGGAACUGCGUCUGAUACUGGGAGGCUUGAGUAUGGGAGAGGGAUGUAGAAUUCCAGGUGUAGCGGUGAAAUGCGUAGAUAUCUGGAGGAAUACCGGUGGCGAAGGCGGCAUCCUGGACCAUAACUGACGCUGAGGCGCGAAAGCUAAGGGGAGCAAACGGG
rnacentral:rRNA from 1 species